rnacentral:rRNA from 1 species
CUACGGGUCGCAGCAGUGGGGAAUAUUGCACAAUGGGGGAAACCCUGAUGCAGCAACGCCGCGUGGAGGAUGACGCAUUUCGGUGUGUAAACUCCUUUUAUAUCCCAAGAUAAUGACGGUAGGAUAUGAAUAAGCACCGGCUAACUCCGUGCCAGCAGCCGCGGUAAUACGGAGGGUGCAAGCGUUACUCGGAAUCACUGGGCGUAAAGGGCGCGUAGGCGGGUUGUCAAGUCUUGAGUGAAAUCCAACGGCUCAACCGCUGAACUGCUUGAGAAACUGGCAGCCUAGAGUAAGGGAGAGGUAGAUGGAAUUGGUGGUGUAGGGGUAAAAUCCGUAGAGAUCACCAGGAAUACCCAUUGCGAAGGCGAUCUGCUGGAACUCUACUGACGCUGAGGCGCGAAAGCGUGGGGAGCAAACAGGAUUAGAUACCCCUGUAGUC